UACGUAGGGUGCGAGCGUUGUCCGGAAUUACUGGGCGUAAAGAGCGCGCAGGCGGUCGAUUUAGUCGCGUGUGAAAGCCCCCGGCUCAACUGGGGAGGGUCACGCGAUACUGAUCGGCUCGAAGGCAGGAGAGGGUAGUGGAAUUCCCGGUGUAGUGGUGAAAUGCGUAGAUAUCGUAAGGAAGACCAGUGGCGAAGGCGGGUCUCUGGACAGUUCCUGACGCUGAGGCACGAAGGUCAGGGGAGCAAACGGG
rnacentral:rRNA from 1 species